AUGCUUGUGUGUGUGUGUGUGUGUGUGUGUGUGUGUGUGUGUGUGUGUGUCUGCAUUUGUGUGUGUGUCUGCGUGUGUAUAUGUGUGUGUGUGUGCGCAUAUGUGUGUUUGUGUGUGUGUGUCUGCGUUUGCAUGUUUGUGUGUGUGUGUUUGCGUAUCUGUGUGUGUCUGCGUUUGCAUGUUUGUGUGUGUGUGUGUGUCUGUGCAUGCAUGUGUGUGUGUCUGCAUUUGCGUGUGUAUACAUUUGUGUGUGUGUGUCUGCGUUUGCGUGUCUGUGUGUGUCUGCGUUUGCGUGUGUAUACAUUUGUGUGUGUGUGUGUGUGUCUGCGUUUGUGUGUGUGUACAUGUGUCUGUGUGUGUCUGCAUUUGCGUGUGUAUACAUGUGUGUGUGUGUGCGUGUGUGUGCGUGUGUGUGUCUGCGUUUGCGUGUGUAUACAUGUGUUUGUUUGCGUGUCUGUGUGUGUCUGCGUUUGCAUGUUUUUGUGUGUGUGUGUGUCUGUGCAUGCGUGUGUGUGUCUGCGUUUGCGUGUGUAUACAUUUGUGUGUGUGUGUGUGUGUCUGCGUUUGCGUGUCUGUACAUGUGUCUGUUUGUGUCUGUGUUUGCGUGUGUGUACAUGUGUCUGUGUGUGUUUGCGUUUGCGUGUGUAUACAUGUGUGUGUGUGUGUGCGCGUGUGUGUCUGCAUUUGUGUGUGUAUACAUGUGUGUGUUUGCGUGUCUGUGUGUGUCUGCUUUUACAAGUUUGUGUGUGUGUGUGUGUCUGUACAUGUGUCUGUGUGUGUGUGUGUGUGUGUGUGUGUGUGUGUGUGUGUCUGCGUUUGUGUGUGUAUACGUGUGUGUGUCUGUGUCUGCGUUUGUGUGUCUGUACAUGUGUCUGUGUGUGUGACCUACAGUCUGCUCUGUCUUUUGGUCCUUUUUCACCAACGUCACCUGAAGCACAGUUCACGCUCUCUUUUACUCCUUCCUCCUCCUCUUCCUCAGCUGCUUCUCUCUGGCGGCGUUGUCGUCUCACAUCAGUGUCAGCUGAUGCUGACAUUGUCGCUGCGACGUGCAGUUGCUGUGGCAACGCCCAGAUUUUGUGUCAGGUCAAGGUGAAAGAUGCUCAUAAGCUGAGUUACAGGUGUGGAGGUGAAGUUAAUGAAGGAGAAAUGAAGAGAAAUAGGAACAGGAUAAAGGAAACAAGCCGUUUAUUUAUUUUAAAUGAUCCGUCUUACAUGAGUGACAGCUCAUUUGUUCUUUUCAAACAGCUUCCUUCCACAAACUAA
ensembl:lncRNA